UACGUAGGGUGCGAGCGUUGUCCGGAAUUAUUGGGCGUAAAGAGCUUGUAGGCGGUUUGUCGCGUCUGCUGUGAAGAUCCGAGGCUCAACCUCGGACUUGCAGUGGGUACGGGCAGACUAGAGUGUGGUAGGGGAGACUGGAAUUCCUGGUGUAGCGGUGGAAUGCGCAGAUAUCAGGAGGAACACCGAUGGCGAAGGCAGGUCUCUGGGCCACUACUGACGCUGAGAAGCGAAAGCAUGGGGAGCGAACAGG
rnacentral:rRNA from 1 species